AUCAAUGGCGCAGCUUCAUAGCGCAUGUGACAACUCGCGGAGUCUGGAGUAUCAGUAGGAAGGAGUCAGAUAGUCCCUCCCUUCUCAUGGGGAUGCUCACAAAAGAGAGUUAAGCAGUGUACGCGUAUCGUGACAACCUAACGUACAAGCGGAACGGUAACAGGUGACAGACCAGUUUUAUCUAUAAGAAAAGAAUUAGAAUAUUAAAAUGAAGGAGCACGAGGCAACAGGAACCUGUCAAAAGAAACCAACGAAACUGCGAAAUCUCAUUUACAAGACUGAAGCUUUUGAUUCUUUGCACGCUGGAAAUGCAGAAAAAACAUUGUGCUCUGGUCAAGUAUGUCUUGGUAGCGUUAUGCAGCUACCGAUUCAUGGUACAGAGCCCCGAUCAAAAGAAGAAAUUCUUGUACAUGCGAAAGAUUUCCUCGAACAAUACUUUUCUUCUAUUAGAAGAUUAAAUAGUGAAGCACAUCGUAUUCGUUGGGAAAGUGUACAAAAAGAAGUCAUAAUUACUGGUACUUAUCAAUUAACUGAAACAGAAUUAGUUUUUGGAGCGAAGAUAGCAUGGCGCAAUGCCACAAGAUGCAUUGGUCGUAUUCAAUGGUCUAAAUUACAGGUAUUUGAUUGCCGUUAUGUCACGACAACUAGCGGCAUGUUUGAAGCUUUAUGCAAUCAUAUUAAAUAUAGCACAAACAAAGGAAAUAUUAGAUCUGCAAUAACAAUAUUUCCGCAACGUACGGAUGGAAAACAUGAUUAUAGAGUGUGGAAUCAUCAAUUAAUAAGUUACGCAGGAUAUAAAAAUCCGGAUGGUACGAUAAUUGGCGAUCCUGCAAAUAUUGAAUUCACUGAGCUAUGUAUGAAAUUAGGUUGGAAAAGUGCACGUACUCGUUUUGACAUAUUACCAUUAAUAUUAUCGGCAAAUGGUCAUGAUCCUGAUUAUUUCGACAUUCCAAAUGAACUUGUUUUAGAAGUACCACUUAGUCAUCCAACAUAUGAUUGGUUUGAAAAGUUAGAAUUAAAAUGGUUCGCAGUUCCUGCUGUAUCUGGAAUGGUAUUUGAUUGCGGAGGAUUAGAAUUUACAGCCGCACCAUUCAAUGGAUGGUAUAUGAGUACUGAAAUUGGAUCGAGAGAUUUAUGCGAUGUUCAACGGUACAAUUUAUUAGAGACAAUUGCAACUCAUAUGGGAUUAGAUACAAGAACAUCUACUUCGUUAUGGAAAGACAAGGCUAUGAUAGAAGCUAAUGUCGCUGUUUUGCAUAGUUUUCAGAUGAAAAAUGUAACAAUUGUAGAUCACCAUACAGCUUCAGAAUCUUUUAUGAAACAUUAUGAAAAUGAAAUGCGAUUAAGAAAUGGAUGUCCAGCUGAUUGGCUAUGGAUAGUACCACCGAUAUCAGGAUCAGCUACACCUGUAUUCCAUCAAGAAAUGGCUCUUUAUUAUUUAAAGCCAUCAUAUGAUGCUCAGGAACCUGCUUGGAAAACACAUGUUUGGAAAAAAGGUCGUGAUAAGAAAUCAACUUCGAAAAAGCCAAGACGAAAAUUUCAUUUUAAGCAAAUUGCAAGAGCAGUAAAAUUUACAUCUAAGCUAUUUGGGAGAGCUUUAUCUCGAAGAAUAAAAGCUACAGUAUUAUUUGCCACGGAAACUGGUACAUCACAAAUGUAUGCUGAAAAACUUAGCGAAUUAUUAGGACACGCUUUUCAUUCGCAGGUACUUUCCAUGUCAGAUUAUGAUAUUAGUAAUAUAGAACACGAAGCUUUAUUAUUAGUUAUAACAUCUACUUUUGGAAAUGGUGAUCCUCCAGAAAAUGGCGAAGCUUUCGCACAAAAUUUAUAUGCAAUGAAAAUGAAUGAAACGUACAUUAAUAGUGGCAAUAAGAUAAGUUUGGCAACUUCAAAAUCAUUUAUUAAAGCAAAUAGUCAAACAGAAGUAAGCAAUUCAAAAAAACUGGAUAGAUUGGAUUCUCUUCGGGGUUCAACCACAGAUUCUCAAACAGAAGAUACUUUUGGUCCUUUGAGCAAUGUUAGAUUUGCUGUUUUUGCAUUGGGAUCAUCAGCAUAUCCAAAUUUUUGUGCAUUUGGUCGUUAUGUGGAUAAUUUAUUAGGUGAAUUAGGUGGAGAACGAUUGUUAAAAUUAGCACAAGGAGAUGAAAUGUGUGGACAAGAACAGGCUUUUCGAAAAUGGGCAGCCGAUACUUUCGCUGUUGCAUGUGAAACUUUUUGUUUAGAUGAUGAUGAUACUUUGCUUGAAGUUGCCUUAUCUUUAGGAUCAGAAGCUUUAUCGGCAGCAACUGUUCGUUUUAUAGAAGCUGAACCCCAACCAAUUGGCAAAGCUUUAAGCAAAUGUCAUAAUAGAAACGUAACUACUUGUAAUAUGUUUCGAAAAACAAAUUUAAGCGGUGAUUCAUCGAGUGGAACUACGUUACUCUUAGAACUCGAUGAUAUAACAAGUAUGGAAAUAUUAUAUAAACCUGGUGAUCAUUUGGGAGUUUUUGCAUGUAAUAGAUCAGAAUUAGUAGAGGCAAUUUUAAAACGAGUACAAACUCCUUUUGAUCCAGACGUACCAAUUGAAUUACAAAUACAGAAGCAAUCUCAUACUCCUAAUGGAAUCGUAAAAACAUGGAUAGCACAUGAUAGAUAUCUACCCAAUUCCUUAAGAAUAUUAUUAAAAAGAUUUUUAGAUAUCACUACACCACCAACACCGAACCUUCUUAGAUACUUUGCGUCCAUUGCUACAAAUCCAAAAGAACAAGCUCAACUCAAUCUUUUAGCUUCUGAUCCAGCUGUUUAUGAGGAUUGGAGACACUGGAAAUUUCCUAAUUUAGUAGAAGUAUUGCAUGAAUUUCCAUCUGUAAGACCUUUUGCACCAUUAUUAUUACUUCAUUUAACUCCUUUGCAACCAAGAUUUUAUAGUAUAUCUUCGUCUCCGGAUGUACAUCAAGGACAAAUACAUCUUACUGUUGCUGUUGUACAAUACAAAACACAAGAUGGUUUUGGACCAAUCCAUUAUGGAGUUUGUUCCAAUUAUUUACGUGAGAUAUCAGACGGAGAACCUCUAUAUGUAUUUGUACGUAGUGCACCUAACUUUUAUAUGCCAUCCGAAUCAAAAGCACCGAUGAUAUUAGUCGGACCAGGAACAGGAAUUGCUCCAUUUCGUGGUUUUUGGCAUCACCGUCUCGCAGAAAUAAAGCGCCGACCAGAUCUCGAAUAUGGAAAAGUCUGGUUAUUUUUUGGUUGUCGUCAAAGAAAUUUAGAUCUAUAUAGACAAGAGAAAGAAGAAAUGGUAGAACUUGGCGUUUUAGAUAAAAUCUUCUUAGCUCUUUCACGAGAACCUGGUUUCAAAAAGGUUAUAAACUCAAAAUGUUUUUUAAAUAAUUUAUAUCACUUUGUUAUACUUGAAAUAUUAUUAUACAUAAUUUUAACAGACAUAUGUACAAGAUUUAAUUCAAGCGGAAGCUUCACAAAUUUAUGAUAUGUUAGUGUAUGAAGGAGGUCAUUUUUACGUUUGUGGUGAUUGUACAAUGGCAGAAGACGUUUAUCAAACUUUAAAACAUAUUAUACAAACUCAUGGUGAAAUGACAGAUAAACAAGUUGAAGCAUAUAUGUUAUCAUUACGUGAUGAAAAUCGUUAUCAUGAAGAUAUAUUUGGUAUCACUUUAAGAACGGCAGAAGUACAUAAUAGAUCAAGAGAAACAG